rnacentral:rRNA from 1 species
GAUGAACGCUAGCGGCAGGCUUAACACAUGCAAGUCGAGGGGCAGCACGAUGUAGCAAUACAUUGGUGGCGACCGGCGCACGGGUGCGUAACACGUAUGGAACCUGCCCUGUACUGGGAGAUAGCCCUCCGAAAGGAGGAUUAAUAUCCCAUAAUAGCUUGGGUGGCAUCACCUGGGUUUGAAAGCUCCGGCGGUACAGGAUGGCCAUGCGCACGAUUAGCUAGUUGGUGAGGUAACAGCUCACCAAGGCUACGAUCGUUAGGGGGCCUGAGAGGGUUAUCCCCCACACUGGUACUGAGACACGGACCAGACUCCUACGGGAGGCAGCAGUGAGGAAUAUUGCGCAAUGGAGGAAACUCUGACGCAGCCAUGCCGCGUGCAGGAAGAAGGCGCUACGCGUUGUAAACUGCUUUUAACCGGGAAGAAACCCUCCGACGUGUCGGAGGUUGACGGUACCGGAGGAAUAAGCACCGGCUAACUUCGUGCCAGCAGCCGCCGCGG